CCCAACCUUACAAGCAUGAUUAUAGGGAAAACUGGAAGAUGCAUCCGGAUAUCUGCAUCGGCUGAAUCUGUCUUUUGGCGUGCCGAGAGGCUAUUUUUCCUGAAUGGAGAGCAGGACCUGUCAGAAUUUUUACUUGUUGACUUGGGCGUUGUGAAAUAUCCUGCUUACAACUGCAUAUUCACAGAUCAAAUUUUUCCAGACAGAAGUGACCUAUUGUCCGUGAUUUUUGAGAAAAUUCUUUUAUGUCGUCUAGCCUCUAUACUCUAUAUAAACAUUGUUUAUCUGACAUGCGCUCUUCUAACUUUUUAUCCUUCAGAGGCUAUUUUUCCUGAAUGGAGAGCAGGACCUGUCAGAAUUUUUACUUGUUGACUUGGGCGUUGUGAAAUAUCCUGCUUACAACUGCAUAUUCACAGAUCAAAUUUUUCCAGACAGAAGUGACCUAUUGUCCUAUGAAGAGGUACACUUAACUCUUGUGAAAAGAUACUUUUUCCCCUUAUUACUUAUCUAUUUUCU
rnacentral:lncRNA from 1 species